CAGACAUCAAUCCAGGCUCUCCAAAUCUUUCUGAACAAGUCUCUCAUAUUUCAAACUUGUGCAAAUGUUUCAACGCGGCCCCUAUCUACUCCGUCCAGAGGCUGGUCCAGAUUAGAAGGCAGAAAAAACGAACUCGGGCCGACAUGUUCGCCGAGCUCAUGCAGUCAUCCUGCACUGAUAGGGCCCAGAUGAAUGUGUGGAGGCAAACAAUUGCGGAGUCCCGUAAAGCAUUACAGGAACUCGAAGAGAGGAGGGACACAUGAUGAGAGCAGAUGCCAGACUGUCUGGAAUGAGAAAGGAGAAGAGAGGCAUCUCCCAGCAAUGGAGCCAACGUCCUUGCAGCCUCACAACUAUCCCAGGACACACAACCUGUAUGUACCUGUUGGACAAUCAGAGGAGCUACUUCAUUCCUAUGGACCCCAAAUCAGAAUUCAACAUAUAUAUUUUAUACUAACACGCUUUAUACAUUUUUCAAAGUACUAAUUGUAUGUUACUUGUUGACCUAAAACCAUGGGAGGAGACAUUAUGUAAUCUUUAACUAUUGGCUACUGUGCUUAUCUUGUCUUGCUGCUAGACCUAUCCCGGGCCUUGGGACUACCUACCACAUCAUUUCCCUCCAUCCAUGGAUAAUCCAUGUAAUCCACCGCAAUCAAUUGUUUGGCAGUGUCUCUGAGCCUAAUAAGCAAGGUGAUAAUCCACCAAUGCUGUGCAGAAUAA